GUGUUCGUUUUGGCAGCACAUAUACUAAAAUUGGAACGAUACAGAGAUUAGCAUGGCCCCUGAGCAGAGAUGACAUGCAAAUUUGUGAAGUGUUCCAUAUUUUU
rnacentral:snRNA from 1 species